CAAAUCAAAUCCAACGCUCGAUCCAGAAAUAAGGCGUAGGCCCUCUGCAUCAACGUUAUAAAGCCCAAAGCUCAAGGUUCAAGGCGUUCUACAAGGAAGUCACCACGUUCUUCAUCAAAGUCAACAUUUAAUCCAGAAAUAAGGUGGAAGUCCUCUGGAUUGACGUCAUCAAAUACAAAUUCAAGUUCAAGUCAUCAAAUCAAAUCCAAGGAGAUCAAGAAGGCGAACUUCCCUCCAAAGAUUUCAAGAAACAUAUCAAAUUCAAAUUCAAGUUCAAGUCAUCAAAUACAAAUCCAAGGAGAUCAAGAAGGCGUACUUCCCUCCAAAGAUUUCAAGUAACAUUUGAAGAGGAUAAUCAGAGGAUCAAGUGGAGAUUCGCAACCCGCAACAAAUUCAUCUCAAUCCAUAUAUUUUGGAUUUGUACACAUUUUUUGUAUUUCAUUAAAUUGAAUACAAUAAAAUUUGUGUUUACAAAUUUUGGCACGCCCGGUGGGACAUCUCUACCUCUCAUCUCUCCUCUUCACCAAUAGCAACUCAAGCAAAUUCAAAUGGAGAACAAAGCUUCAAGUGCUACCCUAAACAUCACUUUGGAGAACAUUGGUGUUAUCACUCGAGGCAAAGCUAUGCAAUUGGAGGAGAUUUUCAAGCCUGCUUCAGCAAUGGAAGAGCAUUCAACCGCGAGCUACUAUCUUGAAGCUCCUGUCAUGGUGACAAACG
rnacentral:lncRNA from 1 species